AGGGACUGUUGCUGCUUUUAUGGUGGUCGUCCUCACCUGCAUACAAACCGUGUUUGCUUUUGUGAAUUAAUUUUUAGUAUUAUCGUGCUGGUGUGUUUUCAAUAAAAUACGAAUUCCUAUGCAUUUGUAUGUAAUGAAAGUAGUGAUUGAAGUUUUCAUGGUUUUGCUUUUAGUUUGGCAUUUGGCUACGGUCAAAUAUUUUAGUGUAUAUUAAGUUAUUAUCAUGCCAAAGUUGACAUUAUAUGCCCUAUCACCUAAUUUUUCUGGGUAUGUAAUCUUCAGUACCUGCUUGCACAAACCACACCAUCUGCUUAACUUAUCGUUGCUCCGUCACUCAACCCAACUCCUGACCUCUUCAUCUGCACCCAUCUAUCUAUAUAUCUAGUAAAGAAGGUUGAGGUUAAAGAUGAUCAAUUGAACAACUUAAGGGAGGAACAGGUUGUGGAUGGUAGAGAUUUAGUGAAUAAAGGAGAAGGAAAAGAAAGAAGGGAGAAAGGAAAAAGAAAGAAAAUCUCGCAUGUCAUUUAAGAAAGUAAGUAAUUAAUAUUCAGAAAAAAGAAGAAGGAACAAUUCUUCUUAAAUACUUGGCAUACUUUGUAUGUUAGCUACCUUAGUUUUGGCAUAAUUUUUACUAAGACAUAGCACUUAAAAUAACAAGUGAGCAGAAGUAUCCAUGUUCAUUAGUAGGUAUAAGCAAACUCAAAACAUAUCAAUUCAUCACUUUCACAUAACUUGUCUCAAUGUCAUAUUAUUCUAUCAUUAUCUAUAAUAACAUAACAACUUCACAUAGUUCAUUUUUAAUGUCAUAUUCCAUUACCGAUCUAUAAGAUUAUACUAAUUCCAUACAACUCCUUUCAAUGUUAUAUCAAAUUAUUUUAUCAACUCAUUUCAUUACAUUUUCAAGUUUUAUAUUCCAAUUAUCAUGUUUCGCCAGAUGGAACCUUAGUGAUACAUAGGUAAACUAUGCCAUACUAGGUUGCUCAUCCAAGCUAUAUAAUACUCGAUGAUCCGCAACAGAUGUUGAAUCUCAAUAUAACCUAUAAUAAUCUUCGUACAAUCACAUAUCCCGUUCCAGCACGCAUAUAACUCAAUGGGCAUCAAUUACACAUAUUUCAUUAUCAUCCCUAUAAUCAAUCAAUUUUAUACAUUUAUACUCUAUAGUCAUUCAAAUUUUCACAUUUAUCAUGCAAUAGUCAAUCAUCACAUGGCAUUCCAAUUCAUUCCAUUAGUAGCCAUAUAUGUCAAAUUCACUAAUAUUUUAAAUUAUACUCAAACAUAGAUAUAUCAAAUUAAACACAAGCACACAUAUCAUACAAAAAUGAGAUAGUAAAUUCCAUAUGAACUUACCUAUUCAAAACAAAACACUAGUCGAUUCUUUAGAGACUAAUCCUUAAUUUUAGCUUUUCCCCUAUUAACUCCACUUUGAACCAAAUCUUGAUAUAUACAAUUAUUUUAUAUAAAAAUUCAAUACCAAACAUUUUCAUACAAUUUCCUGAUAUGCAUGAUCCUAUAUAAAUUUAUUUUUUAAUUUCCCUCAUAUUUUAUGUUUUAUUCAAUUUAGUCCCUAAACUCGAGAUAGGCAUAACUUUCAAUUCCUAGCUUUGGAUUAAAAUAUGAUUUCAUAUAUUCUCGUUAGAGGCCUUAUAUUUUCUAUUUGUAACAUAAUUUCAUGACAGGUUUUACAUUUACUCAAUUUGGUCUCCAACAUAACAAAGUUAACAAACAAGCUAAUUUAACUUUAAAAUCUAGUCAUUUUCAUAUUCUAAGCUUAAAAUCUAUCAAUUUCAAACCAAAUUCUUUAAAUAAUCAACAAUGACAACUUUCUAAAACUUUAACAGAUUCACAAAUUGGUACAUGGGUUAGCUAUAUCAAGCUUUCAUGACCAUAAAUCUAUAAAAUUACAAGAAAAUAGCUUGAUUUCCAUACCUAUUUGAAUGUUCGAAUGACUAAGCCUUAAGAAUGGGUUUUCUCUUUUUCUUUCAAUGGUGAAUCAGCUAAAGAAGUAUGAAGAAGAUGGUAACCUUCUAUUUCUUUCCACUUAUCUUGUUAUUUAUAGUUUAAUUAGUAGCUAAUUAGCUUAAUAAAUCACAAUUAAUUAGCAUAAUCUAACUUUUAACUUCACUUAUUAGAGAUAGAAUCUUCCAUUAACUUUUACAUAAUAAUGGUUUAUUAACCAUUUCGGUCUUUUGGUUAAUUGUUAUCUAGGUCCUCAAGCCUUUUUUUAAUUAAAACUCUAUAAUGAUUGGACUUUACAAUUUUUUCCUGGAGCCUUAAUUAACUAUUAAUUUGACAAUUCAAUAUAUUUUUAUAUUAGCUCGGUAAAUAUUUGUAACACCCUUACCCGACUUGUUCUCUGAGUCUGAGUUUCGGAUGAUACAAAUCCUGAAUAUCUGGCUAACACAUUUGAAUUUUAUUCUCAACUAAUUAACAAUACACAAUAGUCAAUAGUAGCAUAUACACCUUUUAAAAUCGCUAGUUCACAACUUCAUUUAAAACUUUGACUUUAAAACUUGAAAAUUUUAGAACUUGACUAAAACCCCAAGGUAUAACCUCUAAGAGCGCCCCUCUAUAUGCAUGUUAUGACUAUCCCUCCCUUUUUCCUUCAAGUUGGCAAAGUCUGGCUUAGCCCUCCACGCAAUUUCCAAGUGAAAGCUUAUUCCUGCAAUUAAGCAUACUGUUGGUUAGUUCGAUAGAACUUAGUGAUCUUUUGCACGUCGACCAUAUAGCUAAAUUGAAAUUUAAUAAAUAAACCCUAAAAGGAUAUUUUUCCACUCUCUGGUGACCAUUGGCCAUUAGCAGAUUAUUUCAAUGUGUCUUUCUCUUCGCUUUUUUCCUAAAGCCCACCGCUGACUGACUCCUUCAUAAUUUGUAGCAUACACAAAUUCUAUCCAAGGUAGGGGUUCACGAGGAAUACAGAAUUGAACACACCUCAUCCAAGAUUCUUUGUUUCCCCCUUUCGCCACCUUGGAUAAAAGAUUCCCAUGUCAACCAUUAACUAACGAACAUUGGCUUAUUGGGUUUAAAAUUCCGAUCUUCCCUUUUUCCUAGCAAACUAUUUACCCCAGAUAAACCUUAAGCGAGUUCCUUCCUUGUCAUUCCUAGUGACUUAGCCCUUACCCAUGGACCCUGAAGUUUCACUCAUUCAUUUGGUACAUCCUCUAAUUGAAAAAGCCUUAGGUUCUAUUCCAUUUGGCGUUCUUUGCCAAACUUCAUCACCAAGCUAUGAUUUUUCACCUUGUGAAGUCCCAUUUUCACCAUAUCGGUUGAGUCUUCAUGACGUCACAAUCGAGCUACAGUUCUUCACUCUUUUACCCCAAGUUAAAUGUCUCAAUAGAUUUUUCCAAGUCUUCUAACCUGAUAGGUUGCACCAUGUUUUCUAUCCUAACACACUCUAUAUGCUGACAUAAUCGAGCUAUAGACUUACACAGUAGACCCCAUGUAAACGUUAUUAUACAAAAUUGACAUAUGAAAGUAAAAGUUAUUAUUAAAAUCAGAAAGGGAAAAAUACAUUAACCCUUUAAUAUAUUAAAUUAGGAGACAUUAACAGCUAACUAAAUACAUUUUAAGAUUCAAUUUAUAAACACCCACCAAUGCCACCUUUUCUAAUAUUUUUGUUGAUGUUUAGUUGGAAAAAAUUAAACCAACUUAAUCCAAAUUUGCAUCUAUAUAAAUGCCCUUAGCCACUCUGAUCGAUUUCAAGGAUUCACUUAUUAUCUAGUAACUAGUUCUUCAACGUUUCCCUUCCAUUUCUCUCCGUUUUCAAAUCCAGGCUUCAGCAGCCAAUUCUAGUAUUGGAAGCCAAAGGUUAUCGGAUUCCCUGUAAGUUUUAAGUCUCUAUGUGUAUGAUCUACAGUAGUCAGUAACAUACUAGUAUUGGUCUGGUCAGUACAUACUGAUUUCAAAGCACUGUAAUGUUGCAUGCCACAUAACGAUACUAAAAUCAUUUUUCAUUCAAUAUAUAAAUAAAGUUUAUUGCUAACUUGAUAUGUAUGCUUGAUACAUGAAAAAGUAGGUGCAAGAAAUGGCUCCAAGGAAGGGACAAUUAGGCUCAAUUAACGCCCCAUCAUUUGAGACAAAGAAAGAUGAAGCACCUAGUGGUUCGAAAGUUGAUGAUUUGGAGCGGGGACCGGACUAAGGGUUUAUCUACGAGGUCCCUAGGAACAUUCGUCAAGCAAAUCCAAAAGCUUACACUCCUCUAUUAAUUUCAAUUGGUCCUCUUCAUUAUCGGAAAACAAGUUUGCUAGCAUGGCCAAGUAUAAAGUGGAUUAUAAAGAUAAAUUUCUUCAAAGGACUUUCUUUUUCGAGAAGGCAUUGGAAAGUUUUUAGAGCUUCAUUGAACGCAACGAGAAAAAUAUUUUCAGCUGUUACGAGGCUCUAAUCGAUGAAGACGAGUUCGUAAAGACGAUAUUUUAUGAUGCAUUGUUUAUCGUGGAGCUCUUCUUGAGGAACUAUGAGAAGGAAGUGGAAAAAAAUUCGGACAUCAAAGACUUGUUUUUGAAAGAAACAUGGUCCGUUUGUCUACGAAGGGUGAUCUUACUUGAAAACCAGAUCCCAAUGUUCGUGCUUGAAGAACUGUACAAACCAUAUGAAAACCACAAACUAGCAUCAGAUGCCUCUGUUCCUUCUUUCCUUAAACUAGCUUGCUCCUACUUUGACAUUCCAUGGGACCUGCAAUUCGAACAUAUAGAAAUCCCACACUUCACCGCUUUGCAAAGAUGCCAUAUGACCAAAACACAAAAUCCAUCAUCAAAGACCAAGAUCCCAACGUUGAAAAAAGUGUACGGUGCCACAAGUUAGCAAGAAGUUGUUAGAAAAAGGCAGCAACAACAAUGAACAACAAAGAGCAUAAGCUCAUGAAAACAACAAGCAAAACAAUUGAUAGGCUAAAGAAAAAAGUAACCGAAUGAGAAAGUGGCAUCCUGCUUUCGUUUUCAUUUCAAAAUAUAAAGGAGUUACAAAAAACAUAAAAUAACAAGUCAGUUACCUAAACGUAACUGCUCCUACCAAAUUUGGCAAGUUGCUAACUAAAAUAUUACAAAAGAAAAGCUGAAAAAAUUCAGCUAUUACAUCCAUCAAUUUCAAAUCUAAAAGUACUAGCUUUAGAUAUGAAGCUACAUGCCAACUUGUUAACAUCACAAAAAUACAAAAUUUAAACAAAAGAAAGUUGCUUCUGGUUCAAUCUUCAAACAGACAUGUAAGCAUUACUGCUGCUACUCUCGAUGUUGGAAGUUUGUUACAUUGCAGGCCAAUACUCAACACUCCUCCUUGGACUGUAGGCAACAAACACCAAUUGAGUCCCUUAGAAAUUCAAACCUGAUUGUGCCAAGAGGCUUUGUCAAAAUUUCAGCCAAUUGAUCUUGUGAGCUGCAAUGUAUUAGACACACUUCUUUAGAUUGAACAACAUCUCGAACAAAGUAAAACUUGAGCUUAAAAUGUUUGGUUUUGCCAUGAAAAACAAGAUUUUUAGAGAUGGCAACUGCUGACUGGUUAUCCACCAUAAUUUCAGUAGGCUCAAGCUGUUCUUCAUUCAAAUCACAUAGCAACUUCCUAAGCCAAAUGGCUUGAUUCACUGCUGCAGCUGCUGCUAUGUAUUCAGCUUUAGCAGUAGACUGAGCAACAGUUUGUUGCUUCUUUGAACUCCAACUGAAAACUCCCGAACCAAGUGUAAAGAAGUAGCCUGAAGUACUUCUCAUAUCAUCAACUGAUCCACCCCAGUCACUAUCUGAGUAGCCUGUUAAUUUUAGCUCACUGACAUACAUGAGUAUUCUCUUUGCUGCUUUCAAAUGAGUUAUAUUGUAGCUGUGCAUGAAUCUAGACAGUAGACUAACUGAAUGCAUAAGGUCAGGUCUGGUUGCUGUCAAGUAAAGUAAACAACCAAUCAGGCUUCUAUACUCCUUUUCAUCUACAUUUUCUUCAUUUCCAAAGCUGCUUAGUUUCUCUCCCACAGCUAAUGGUGUGCUCACUGGUUUGCUAUUUUCCAUAUGAAACUUAGUGAGAAUUUUCAAGGCAAAUGCAUGCUGGCUGAUAAAAAUGCCUUGAUCAGACUGGUCUACUUCCAUACCAAGGAAGUAAGUCAUGAUUCCUAAGACUGUCAUGUCAAACAUGUCUUGCAUAUUCUUCUUGAACUCCUGAAUCAAAUCAACCCUACUUCCAGUCACUAAUAGAUCAUCCACAUAUAUUGAGACAAUCAGCAAAGUCUCAUCUUUGGACUUCUUUAUAAACAAAGUUGGCUCACUCAAACUUUUCUCGAAAUUGAGCCUAGACAGGUAAGCAUCUAUCCUGUCAUACCAGGCUCGAAGAGCUUGUUUUAGUCCAUAGAGUGCCUUCUUCAGCUUGUAAACCUUGUCCUCAUUUCCUUGGACUUUAAAUCCAUCAGGCUGUUCAACAUAAAUUUCCUUUUUAAGGAAGCCAGUCAGGAAAGCUGACUUGACAUCAAGCUGAUGGACCUUCCACUGUUUCUGUGCAGCCAAAGCAAACAGGAGCUUUAUGGUGUCCAGCCUUGCUACUGGAGCAAAUGUCUCCUCAAAAUCAAUGCCAAACUGUUGAUUGUACCCUUUCACCACAAGCCUUGCCUUGUGUUUGUUCAAAGAGCCAUCAGCAUUGAAUUUGGCCCUAAAAAACCCACUUGACACCUAUGACCUUCUUCUGAUCAGGUCUGUCUACCAGAUCCCAAGUGUCAUUCUUGUGGAUCAUGUCGAUUUCAGCCUCCAUAGCCUUUUUCCAGCUCUUGCUUCUUACAGCUUCUUCAUAGCUUGAAGGCUCAACAAUAGCCACAUUGCAUCUUUGGUAGAUAUCAGCAAUAGACCUGGUCUCUUUCACAGGAGCAUCAUCUAUAUUGGCAUUACUGGCUUCAUUUUUUACCAAUUCCAGAUUGCUGUCAAUCUGCUCUUCUUCAAACUGACUUGUGUUAGAGCCAUCUAGACUCCAAAACCUUCCUUCAUCGAAUUUGACAUCCCUGCUUACCAAAAUCUUCUUGGUUGAGGGAUCAAAUACUCUGUAGCCCUUCUUGCAGCUACUAUAGCCAACAAAUAUACCAGGAACUAACCUCUUCUCGAGCGUGGUUCUUCUUUCUGCAGGGACAAGUACAAAACACAUGCAACCAAACACUUUUAAAUGGAAAACAGUUGGUUUAAGAUCAUACCAUGCUUCAAAAGGAGUGUUAUCCUUCACAGCAUGUGUUGGCAGCUUAUUGAGUAGGUACACUGAGGUGUUGACACCUUCAGCCCAAAAAAUGCUUGGAAGCUUGCUUUGAAACAACAAACACCUGGUCAUGUUCAUCACUGUUCUGUUCUUCCUUUCACAUACUCCAUUUUGCUGAGGAGUGUACACUGUGGUUAACUGAUGAUGAAUCCCAGCCUACUCACAUAGCUUCUGAAAUCUUUCAAACAAGUAUUCAGAACCAUUGUCUGUCCUCAAGGCCUUAAUCCUGCAGCCUGUUUGAUUUUCUGCCAAUGCCUUGAACUUUCUAAAAACUUCAAACACUUCUGACUUCUGUUUCAUGAAAUAAACCCAGCUAAAUCUGUUCAGAUCAUUAAUAAAUAGUAUAAAAUACUUACUGUCAUUCAGUGAAGGGUCGUCAUUGGUCCACAGACAUCUGAGUGCACCAACUCAAUUCUUUCUCGAGCCCUCCAUGCUUGGUUUACUGGAAAAGGCAACCUAGCCUGCUUGCCAAGCUGACACACUUCACAAACAGACUCAUUUGCAUCAACCUUAAUCAUGUCCUCUGUCAAACUCAUCUUGUGCAGCAAAUUGAGUGACCUGAAAUUGACAUGGCCAAAUCUUCUAUGCCACAGAUCAGCAUUGUCAACUAAACUUGUAUAGGCUCUUCUCUCAAGUUGGCUCACAUCCAGCAUGAAACACCUAUCUACCAUGGGUGCUGAAACAACUUCUCUACCAAGAACAUCAUUAAUAACACAAGAAUCAUUCUUGAAAACUAGAGAGUAGCCUUUCUUAACCAGUUGACCUACACUAAGUAGAUUUUGAUCUAUUUCAGGUACAUAGAGCACAUCUGAAAUAACCUUGUUACCUGAACCAGUAUUGAUCACAACAUCACCUCUACCUUUAGCUUCAAUCAGAUUCUCAUUGCCUAUCCUGACCUUUGAAGUAAAACUCCUAUCAAGGUCCUUGAACAGGCUCUCAUCUGAUGCCAUGUGAUGUGAGCAGCCACUAUCCACAAGCCAACUGCAUUUAGAUUUGCUUGUGGUUGCAGAACAUGAGGCAGUGAAGACAUGUUCCUCCUGAGCUUGAAGAUCUUCAGCAGUCUUGGCUUGUACUGGCAGAGUUUGUGCCUUUUUUUGAUUUCUAUAAAUCUUUUCAUGGUGACCAUACUGCUUGCAACUCUUGCAUUGGAUGUCUGGUCUGUUCCAGCAAUACUUCUCCAAAUGAUUAGUCUUCUUGCAAUGAAUGCAUGGUGGAAACCUCCUUCUAUCAGCAUCUUUCUUUGAUCUUUCCCUCUUUUCAAACCAAGGCUUCUUAGCUUUCUGACUUGAGCUGGAGCCUUCUCUGACCUUUGCUUGAAAAGCACCUUCAGGACUCUCCUCCUGCCUACUUGCUCUUCUCUGCUCAAGUGCAUAGAGUGAGUUAACCAACUCAGACAAGGAAAUGGUUGUAAGAUCCCUUGAGUCCUCCAAUAAGGAGACUCAAACCUUUCAGGUAAGGUGGUAAUAACCUUCUCAACAACCCUGCUGUCACUGAAAUCUUCUCCAAGGAGUCUAAUAUUAUUAACAGUAGCCAUAAUCCUAUCAGAAUAUUGCUUGAUAGUUUCUGACUCCUUCAUCUUCAAAUUUUCAAAUUCCCUUCUAAGAUUAAUUACUUGUUGCUGCCUUGUCUUGUCCGAUCACAUGAACUCCUCUUUCAGCCUAUCCCAUGCUUGUUUGGUUGAGUCACAGGCCAUGAUGCGAGUAAAAAUCACAUCAGACACUCCAUUCUGUAGGCAGGCCAUGGCUUUAUGCUUCUUGGGUCGCUCCUCACCAUGCUGCCUGAUCUGAGCAAUGGUUGGAUUUGCUCUCAAUGGUGGUGGCUCGACAUCAUUUGCAACUGCACUCCACAGAUCAAGUGCUUGGAGGUAAGUUUUCAUUUUAACUACCCCAAUGUGGUUGUUUUCUCUAGCAAAAACUGGUGGUGGAGGAGGUGCAAAGCUCAUGUUGCUGAAACUGGUUUGACAAACACGAUUUUUGAGUUUAUUUUGAAACAAAAAAACUUAAACAACAGAGGUUCUCAAAGACAAAAGGCUCUGAUUACCAUUUGUUAGAAAAAGGCAGCAGCAACAAUGAACAACAAAGAGCAUAAGCUCAUGAAAACAGCAAGCAAAACAAUUGAUAGGCUAAAGAAAAAAGUAACCGAAUGAGAAAGUGGCAUCCUGCUUUCAUUUUCAUUUCAAAAUAUAAAGGAGUUACAAAAAAAUAAAAUAACAAGUCAGUUACCUAAACGUAACUGCUCCUACCAAAUUUGGCAAGUUGCCAACUAAAAUAUUACAAAAGAAAAGCUGAAAAAAUUCAGCUGUUACAUCCAUCAAUUUCAAAUCUAAAAGUACUAGCUUUAGAUAUGAAGCUACAUGCCAACUUGUUAACAUCACAAAAAUACAAAAUUUAAACAAAAGAAAUUUGCUUCUGGUUCAAUCUUCAAACAGACAUGUAAGCAUUACUGCUGCUGCUCUCGAUGCUGGAAGUUUGUUGCAUUGCAGGCCAAUGCUCAACAGAAGUUGGUGUUGAGCUUAUAGUUGAACCCAACCAAACUGCAUGUUUGCUUGAUGUUAAAUUUGAAGGCAAAAAGAUUAAAAUCCCCAAAUUGACAGUGCAGUUCAACACUGAAGCUUACCUUCGGAACGUCAUGGCGUUCGAGAUGUGCCAUUGUCCAAAUGAAGCCUACGUUUGUGCUGACAUAGAACUAAUGAACUAUCUCAUUGAAAAUGCCCAAGAUGUAGAAUGGUUAAUAGAAAAAGAGAUUUUAAGCAAGGAAAGCAAACACGAAGGAAGACUGGUUACCAUAAUAAACACGAAUAUAGCGGUGCAACGUAUGAUUAAGAAACUUAUGGUGGGAAUUGGGCAGCCAUGUUCUGCAUGCUACCGGGUAACCGCGAACCGAUUGAACCAGCUUUAUAAAGAGGCUAGGAAGCGCAAAGUGACAUUAUUCAUCAAGGAGAAUUAUGGAAUCCUGAAGCGUGUUUAUUUCCCCAAUCUUUGGAGAGGAACAAGGACUGUUACAGCUUUUAUGGUGGUCGUCUUCACCUUCACGCAAACCGUGUUGGCUUUUGUGAAAGAUUAAUUUUUAGUAUUAUUGUGCUGGUGUGUUUUCAAUAAAAAAUGAAUGCCUACGCAUUUGUAUGUAAUGAAAGUAGUGAUUGAAGUUUUCAUGGUUUUGCUUUUAGUUUGGCAUUUGGCUAGGGUCAAAUAUUUUAGUGUAUAUUAAGUUUAAUUAUCAUGCCAAAGUGAGCAUUAUAUGUCCUAUCACCUA
rnacentral:lncRNA from 1 species